CGACGACCGACACCGAGAUUUUCCCAAACCUUGGUCCUUACUCUCGUAUAAAUUAGAAACGAACAGCGGAACAAUUUUCUCGCAACCGGAAGCACAGCAAACAUGGAUCUGAGAGAAAGCAUCAUCAACCAAAACGACGUCGCAAGGAGGCUGACGAAGCAGCUGGUUCAGACCGAAGGCAAGCAGUCGAACCUCGUGUACUCGCCGCUGUCCAUCCACGUUGUGCUGAGCCUGAUCGCGGCCGGGUCAAAGGGUCCCACCCAGGAGCAGCUGCUGUCGUUCCUCAAGUCAAAGUCCACCGACCACCUCAACUCCUUCGCCUCCCAGCUCGUGUCCGUGAUCUUCUCCGACGGGUCCCCCGUGGGCGGCCCCAAGCUGGCGUUUGCGAAUGGGGUUUGGGUGCACAAGCCUCUCCCGCUGAAGCCUUCCUUCGAGCAGGUGGUGGACGCUUCUUACAAGGCCGCUCUUGCCCCAGUCGAUUUUCAGACCAAUGUAAGCUCCCAAACCCUCUGUCAUGUCGUAUCGAUAGUGUUUUUUUUCAAUGCUGCUCAUGAUCAAAGUCUUCAAUUUUUUUCGAUUUGAUUGGAGAUGUUUGUUCCUUUGUUGAACCUAAAUUGCAGGCCUGCUGAUGCUCUUUUAUUAUUGUAGCAUUUCAAAUAAAUAUUUCCUCUCUAAUCAUUACUGUUCGUGCUUGUUCUUCUGAAUAGCUUAGCUGUUACGAAAUCGUAUCGUAGAUUUUUUGUUCGUUACUGUUUGUGGUUGUAAUUGAUCGAGAUAUGCAGGCUGAUAUCAUUGUUUUCUAACUUGUCGUAACUGUUGUUGGUGCUCAAGGCUGCUCAAGUGGCGUCGGGAGUGAAUUCAUGGGCUGAAAAGGAGACGAGCGGCCUUAUCAAGGAUCUACUUCCUCCCGGGUCACUUGACAGCUCAACCAGGCUCAUCUUUACGAAUGCAUUGUACUUCAAGGGAGCUUGGAAUGAGAAAUUUGAUGCAUCAGCUACAAAAGAGCAUGACUUCCACCUUCUCGACGGGAGCACAGUUAAGGCGCCCUUCAUGACCAGCAAGAACAAGCAGUAUGUAAGUGCCUUUGACGGUUUCUCAGUCUUAGGGCUUCCUUACAGACAAGGUGAAGACAAGCGGCGCUUCUCCAUGCACAUCUUUCUUCCACAGGCGAAAGAUGGGCUGCCAGCUUUGGUUGAGAAACUUGGCUCUGAGUCCGGGUUUUUAGAUCGCUAUCUUCCCAAACAACCAGUUGCAGUGGGCGACUUCAGAAUCCCAAAGUUUAAGAUCUCAUUUGGGUUUGAAGCUUCCAAUGUCCUAAAGAGUCUGGGACUGGUGCUGCCUUUCGAGGGUGAAGGAGGUCUGACAGAGAUGGUGGACUCGCCCGAGGGUAAGAAGCUAUAUGUUUCUAGCAUAUUCCACAAGUCGUUCAUCGAAGUGAAUGAAGAAGGCACAGAAGCUGCAGCUGCUUCUGCCGGCGUUAUAAGUGAGAGGAGGAUGCCCAUGACAUUUGUGGCUGAUCGUCCAUUCCUCUUCACGAUCAGGGAAGAAACGACCGGAACAGUUCUGUUCAUCGGUAACCUGCUCAACCCUCUUGCCGGCUGAGUGUUACAACCCCCUGGGAAAGGGCAUCAGAUGUACGUAGAAUAAUACGCGCGAGACUGUAGUAAAUAAAAUGUAUGAUCCUUGUAUACAUGUACUAUGUUUGGUUAUUACCUAAUCACCCUGUACUUGCAGCAGUUGGUCUUGUUUCUCCCAUGUGGCGAUUUUUGUUUGUUCUCCCAUGGCGUUUAUCCAUGUGUAGAAUCUUGAUUCUGAAUACUUAUUUUAUGAUGUACUCUGUUUGAACAAUAAAAGUUUUAGCCGACUGCAAACGUCGGUUAGUGUUAAAGUAUUUAAUAUAUAGAAUGGACGAGUGCUAGUGUUGUACCAUACACAUGGUUGGUGAUGAAAAAGAUUAAACUUUGAAUAUUCUAUAAAAUAUUAUUUAACUUGGGACGAGGAUCUUCUUUGUGAGGAUCUUAUGAAUUAAUUUAUCUUAACGGUUCAUUGUACAUCGUGUGACCAUCUUUCAUUAGAUACUUUUUGUGUUAAAUUUUAAAUAAAUUCAAAAUAAUUUUUGGCUGCAGGAUGAUUGAUAAACAGAUAUGAUGCAUUGAUUCCUAAAGUCCUCACAAAGAGAAUCCGGAUGUUUAUAGUCCUCCAUGACUGGAGAUGGCCUAAGAUGCUAAACACUUAACACUACCCAAUUUUUCCAGUUAGUUAAAUUUUCACAAUUAGUGUAUUAAAUUGCUUAAGAAAUGUUAUCAGCACUCUAAAAUAAUUGACCAUAUUUUCUUGACUCUUUUGUUAAAUUGCAUGAAGAUUUUUUUGGAUAGUCAAUAAUAUCUCCCAAUUGCUUAACAUAGAAUUAAAUAGAGUAUCGCUAACUAGAGCAUGAUAUGUUUCUGUGUCUUUGAUGCCCUUUGCUCGAGAAAAUUUAGUAUAGGGUUUUCAUCACAAAUGGUCCCUGACAUUGAUCAAACACAUCAUUUUGGUCCCUGACAUUGAAAAUCAAUAGAAAUGGUCCCUGACAUUGAUCAAACACAUCAUUUUGGUCCCUGACAUUGAAAAUCAAUAGAAAUGGUCCCUGACAUUGAUCAAACACAUCACAAAUAGUCCUUCCGUUAAAAACGUUUUGGGCAAUUUUCAAAGCUUUGUAACUCAAUCGUUUCUUAACCAAAUUCGACCCAUAAUAUAUCAAAAUGAAGAUAGGAAAGUGUAGAACAAGAUUAUACCUAUUUGGAAACCCAAUGGUUGCCGGAGAUGGCCGGAAAACAGCCUCAAAUGUGACUGGUCCGCGAAAAAACUGGAAAACUCGCCUGAAAUGGGGUAAACUUUAAACAUUCAUAACUUCUUCAAUAAUCAACGAAAUCGAGUGAUUCAAAAAUGAAAAUCAUACUUCUCGACGAGACUAAGAGAAUGGUAGCUUUCUUGAUGGCUAACUCAUUGUAGUUUGGCCGGAAAAUGACUCGAAAUUGGCUAACUCGAAAAUGGUUAUCCAAGUUCGAGCCAUUUUCCGGUCAAACCACGGUAAAUUAGUAGUCAAUAAAGAUACCAUUAUCUUUCUCUCAUUGAGAAGUAUGAUUUUCAUUUUUGAAUCACUCAAUUUCAUUGAGUAUUGAAGAAGUUAUGAAUGUUUAAAGUUUACCCCAUUUCAGGCGAGUUUUUCAGUUUUUUCGCGGACCAGUCACAUUUGAGGCUGUUUUCCGGCCAUCUCCGGCAACCAUUGGGUUUCUAAAUAGGUAUAAUCUUGUUCUACACUUUCCUAUCUUCAUUUUGAUAUAUCAUGGGUCGAAUUUGGUUAAGAAACGAUUGAGUUACGAAGCUUUGAAAAUUGCCCAAAACGUUUUUAACGGAAGGACCAUUUGUGAUGUGUUUGAUCAAUGUCAGGGACCAUUUCUAUUGAUUUUCAAUGUCAGGGACCAAAAUGAUGUGUUUGAUCAAUGUCAGGGAUCAUUUGUGAUGAAAACCCUUUAGUAUAUGAACGACAAACUACGUGUUAUUACGGCCACAGACGAUAAUCCAGACUAUUUGUUUAAUACUUAAGCUUACUUGUGGUCCCAUUAUGUAAAAAAAUUUUGCAUUAGUCUGCACACAAGAAAUUUUUUAUUGGUUUCAGUUGAGCUCAAAUAAUAAUAAUCUGUUCGUGUAAAAGUUAAAAUUUAUCUUAUUAUGUAAUUGAUUUAAAAUACCGUAAAUACUGAUUUAAAAUUAUCUCAUUGUCAGCUUGUGUGUCAUUCUCGUAGAAUUUGGAAUUAUUCACAUUGUUUAGUAACGUAGGAUAUUUCAAGAAGCAUUUUUGCUCACUAUCAUUUAGUGUAAUGUAUAUUCAUCAUUCUAUUUAUCAUCGUUAGAUGAGUUUGAAUUUUAAGAUCCGUGUAGUGGAUAGACACAAAUUUCAAAAUUCAAUCUCAUCUAACGAUAAUAAAUAUGAUGAUGAACAUAAAUCAAAUAAAUGAUGAUGAAAAAAAAUACAUAGAUAUUUCAGUACAUGAAAACGUCACGUUAAUGAAAGGAGCUGGAGCGCCUGCUGCUGACCUCGGUCAAACAGACGGUGUGGGUUUCACGUGGCUGGCGCGAAAUCUAAACCGUUAAUUUAAUGUUAGUUAUCUCUCCCCUUGUCACGACUCCCAUGUAAUGCUGUAAAGUCACAAGCACCCAUCGUUUGGUUCUAAUAUUACAACAGUACCGCCCAUGGAAACACAAUCUUAAGCAAUCUCUAAUACUCAUAAUGUUGUUGAAGUUUUGCACUAAUAAUAGUUGCUAAACAGUGAUUAGACAGUCAGAUAAGAGACAGGGUUUAUGAUGUGAUUUGGACGUCCCAUCCUUUGCCACUUAAAAUGUCUUACCUACCAAACAUAUCUUGAAAAAUAAUUUAGCUUGGUACGAAGAAUCACAAUUUUUGUUUAUAAUUGACGAAAUCAAUCAAUGCAUGUUUUUUAUCAAAUCAAUAUUUAUUGGGAUAUUCAUCCUUAAAAUCUUCAUUUUGUUAUAAAACAACAAUAUAUUUAUUAUUUUUAAAAUUUUGUAAUACGUUUAUUUAAGUAGUGACUUUGAACGUUUUAAAAUUGAAAAAUCAAUAUUUAAAUGCAAAGUUGUCCGUUUUGAAUAAUCUCUAACAAUAUUUUCCUUCUCGUAAAUGAGUAAGAUUGGUUUAUUUUGUACACAAUUAGAUAUUGAGAGUUGAAAUUCUAAAUACUAAGUUCUUCUUAACAUAUUUUCGUAACCAUUUAAGAUGUUUGUAUAUUCGAAGAAUAUGGAAAAAUUGAAUCAACCCAGAUUAUUAUUAUGGCUGUCGACAUCUUUUAUCAGAGGAUAGCCAUCAAGUCACACCGCAUAUCCAGAAAGAGAAAUCCAUCCAAAAAAUAGGAAAACGAAAUGACAUUCCUUAUUUUCCUCCAUGGACGUCCCUUCUCUCCCCACCACGAAGGUCCCAGCUGAAAAGAAACGGAUGGCACAAUCGUGAUUAUCACAAACAGGAAUGUCAAAUUGUAGCAAGAGCAUGGUCAGCGCCGUUACAAAUAAGUGGAAGUUCCUCGGAAGAGUAAGAGAACGCGACAAUCAUAACGUAAUCUAUCUCUUCACUUUCUCAAUCCUUUUCUAUCUUUUUUUUCUUUCUGGGUUCCUUGUACUUCUCAUAAAUAUUAAGAGUUUAAUUCAAAAGAAAGGAACUUUCUCUUUCAUUGCUUACAUUUUUUUUUUCAGAUUAUUUACUUUCCCUUCCUUGCAGUUGCUUGGAAGAAACCAAGCUCAGAAGACCUUUGUUUUUUGAGAAUUCAGUUCAAUCCGUUUAUAUAUAUAUAUAUAUAUGGUGUUGAUGAUUUACCAGAAGUGAUAGUGCUUCAACCGAGAAGAAGAAGCUUUUAGUCUUCAGAAAUUCAGAGAAAAGAUAAGGAAGUGGAAGAGUGAAGGAAAAGCAAAUCAAAAGAUGGGAGAAACUGCUCCUCAUCCUCCACCACAGGUGGUUGCUCGGCCGUCUCAGAUGCCUCUUGGGGCAGCGAAGGGUCCCCAUUUGGACUCCAACUGAGCAGCUCCACAACCUUCAGUAUUGCAUCCACUCCAACCCCUCUUAGCGUUAGUCUCUCUCUGUUUCUGUUAAUUUCUUCGUUCUGGGUUUUAUAUUUUUUGAGUAAAAAGCUGAUUAAAGUUGUGCUAUUUUAAUGGGUUGGUUUAAAAGUUGAAGCUUUUGGCACUACUUCUUAUUUAGUUUACUAGUUUGCUUUUUAUUCCUAAUUUUGCAAAUUACUUUUACUAUUUUUGUUUCGGAUUCUCUAAUUUAUUGUGUUCGAAUCUUUUUAAGUACUGUAAUUAGUUCUAAUAAAAUAAUAAGCAUAUGUUCCAUUACCAGUUUCAACUUAUCCUGCUUACAAGACAUCGAUAUCACUCGAAAAUGUUUAGGAAGUGUAAACGUAAAUUUCCCAUGUUUAUCAAAUGCAACAAACUGCUUCUAAUGGAUCGAAUUUUACAGCGGAAACAUUCGUACUCGCUUUUCAGCACUAUAUUGUGAUGCUCGGAUCCAUAGUUAUAAUUGCCACUAGUUUCGUGCCUCGGAUGGGUGGGGAUCAUGUAAGUUAUGUCCUCUAUACAGUAAAGUUUAUAAUAUGCCGGUUAAGAUUAGCGAUCACACACGUAGCUUUGAAUCCGUGAUGUUAAUGUUUGGGUUUUGUUCUCCCUUUGUGAUCAGGGUGACAAGGCACGCGUGAUUCAGACGAUGCUGUUUAUGGCAGCAAUAAACACUUUGAUCCAAACAUUCACGGGACAAGGCUUCCAACAGUGAUGACUUCGUCAUUCGCUUUUACCCUUCCGGUGAUGUCAAUCAUCAAUGAUUAUUCUGAUCGGAAUUUUAGAAGUGAACAUGAGGUAUGUAAAGUUUGAAACAUGUUAUUCAUAGAGGAUUUAACAUCACAUUAAUUUACUUCUUAAAUUGCUUUAAGAAAUUUCAGUUAUAGACUUUGAGAUGAAAAAUACGUGGUGCAAAAAACGUGUAAACCUUACAUACCUGUAGAAGACGUCAUGAUGAAUUUCUGGUUUUGAGGACGGAAUAGAUUGAAGCACGUCCAUGCACUGUUGCGUCAUAUGCAACAAACUGAUGGGGAGUUCUAGGGUUGUGGCAUUAGCAAUGUGACAGGGACCUCAAACUUACAUAGGCCUCACGUCCCUAGAACCCUACCCACUAAUGGAGACUAGAAACUCUUAUGAUCCUCUAACGAGAAUAAUAAAGCCAAUGGAAAUGUUAGCACACAAUUGUUGUACAUAUAACAGACUUCGAGCAAUUUUUGGAACACGUAAAACAUUGUUAAGAAUAAGAUCAUGAGUAUUGGUUUUAAUGGUUGUUGCAUCAAUAUUCUUAAUGGAUAAACCUGUUCCAUUUCCAACUGUGAUUUUAUCAAAACCUUGGAAUGGUGUAACUUGAUUCAAUGUGGUGGCAUCAGCAGUGAUAUGAUGAGAUGCACCAGUAUCAACAAUCCAUGCAUCAUGAGGAAUAUAUUGUUCUAUCUGCUGUGUUGCCAUAGCUGUUAAGUUUGCAGGUGGUUGUUGGCCUUGAAAAACAUAAUUCCCUUUGUGAUAACAUUCAAGAGCUGAGUGACCUUUUUUUCCCACAAAUCUGACACUCCAUUUGAAAUCUAGUAUUUGGUGUAGUAGCAUUUCUGUGAAAACAAUUGACUGCAGUAUGCCCUUUCUUGUUGCAGAUUUGGCACUCAAUCACUGUUGUUGACCUGCUCUCUGUGUUUCCAUUCCACACAUUUGAACCAUUUGACCUUGAAUUGCCAUACGAAAAAUCAGAAGAGUUUCCUAUGUUGUAACCCUUGCUUUUGAAUCCACCAUUUGUCUUGUAAUUAUUGUUACCCUUGUAGUUUGAACCACCAAAAGGUUUCUGCAUGAAAUGAGGUAUUGGACCAGAAUUUGAUGCAUUAGCCAUAAACCCAAAACCAUAGGGAACUUGAGGAUAAACUGGACCAGGAAAUUGCGGAGACAUAGGAGGUUGAGGCAUAUGAGGUUGCUGUGGAUAUUGUUGUGGCAAGACAAAUGGCUGUGGUUAUUGUGGCUGUGGAUAUUGUUGUGGAUAUUGCUGUGGUAAAACAAAUGGCUCAGCAGAAUAUGGAUAUGGAUUAGGAGUUAUAACACCACCAGUGGUUGCAGGUAAAUGACUAUGCCCUGCAGGAUUAGACCCUGAAGCAAAUGAAUUUCCCUGAGUUGACUAAGAACCCUAAACAUAUAAGGCAGAUAGACUUUGAGACCCAACACUUGUGUCUCAUUCAAUCUCUUUUUCAGCUCUAAAUUUUUUCAAGGAAAUGGAUGAUUCUUUGCCAUAUAUCACAGUUCGAAUAGUUGCAUACUCCUUCGGCAAACCAGCUAAACCAGCAAUUAUAACAUCAUUAUCAGAAAUGAACUCUCCAGUAGCAGUUAAUUGUUCUCUUAUACUCUUCAAUCUUAACAGAUAUUUAUCCAUCAAAUCUCCUCAUUUUUGAAUGGUGUACAACUCAAUUUUUAAAUGAUUUACCCUAGUUUUAGACACUGAAGCAAAUCUAUCCACAAGAUUCGACCAAGCCUCACAAGCAGUUAAACAUCCAAGAACAUAUUUAAUAGCCUCAUCAAACAAAGUAGCUAGUAAAAGACUUAGUAAUGGAUAUGUGGAUUCCCAUUCAACAUAUUCAGCAAGUUCAGAAGUAACUCCUCUCUUAGUAUCUAUUACAAAUUUUUGUGGACAACCAAUAGUGCCAUCAAAAUGCCCAAACAAUUUAUGACCUUUCAACACAUAUUUGAACUGAAAAGCCCAUUUCACAAAAUUAUCAUCCUUCAACUUUAUUGUGAUCAUUCCCAGUUUCAACUUUAACACUUGAAGUAGUCAUGAUUUCUUGAUCGAACACAUAGAAUUUGCAAAUAACAAACAAACACCCAAAAAUUUCUGAUAUACGUAUUGAAAGGAAAGACUGAAACUUUCUCACAACCCAAGCAAGACUGAAACUCGCUUAAUACUCAGGAAAAACUGAAACUUUCUUGAUGAAUCUUGCACACAAAUACAACACACAAUUCCAAUUCGGAAAAGAAAACACAAAAUCUUCUAAUCAGGACUGAAACCCAAUUACUCAACAGAAAUUCACACUAUCACUUGAAUUGCAGCUGUGAUUGCAGCCACAAAUAGCCAGAAUACCAACCGCCAGAAAGAACAACAAGGAUCUGCAAUCGCCAGAACUUUUGAACAAACCCGUUGAAAAGACCUUUCAGAAUCCUUGAACUGGAUAGCAGCGAAAGAACUAGGAUCGAAAACGGUAGUGAACCAUGGUCAGCGAUGAUACCAUAUUAACAGUGUUGAAUUGUGGCCAAGUGGCCAUCACCUUUCGGCUAAUAAACAAACAAAGAAAAGAAAAAGAAAGACAAAAUGAUGAGGAAACAUCAUGAUGAGGAGGCAUCAUGAUUAUGCUUUCUUGUAGUUUUUUAAUAACCAUAAUUAUUGUUUUUGUUUCGGGUAGAAGAGAAGAAAGGGAGAGCUCAUUUUUUAGAAGAAAGCAUAUUAAAGAGAGAAGAGGAGAGAGAGAAGGUAGAGCCUUUUGGUUAUAAAAGGCAUUCGAUUAUGCCUUUGGAUGUGGGAGGGGGGGGAGCGGCAGAUGAGAGAGCACAGGGAGAGCAUUCGGCUCUCCCAUUUGAAUAUGAGCUGCUCCUUCCCACCAUUUGUAAUAAUCCCAUUUUGUUAGUAAUCACUCAAUCAAAGAUGUUGGUGCUACUUGUGUAGCUUUUGGGAGAGAAGGAUUUUGAUAUGUGUUUCUUCUUCUCCAUUUGUUUCUUAGUUUGAGUGAGAGCUAUUGGGUGUAUGUGGGAUUUGGGUUUGAGUGUUGAACUCUAUUUGUAAUCUCCUUUUGAUAUUAAUGGAAUUUCCUCGCCGUCUCGGAACUGGAUGUAGGCUUACGCCAAACCAGUAUAAAAAUCCUUGUGUCUUUUGGAUUAUUUGUCUUGUCAUAUUUUGCCGUUAUUAGCUUUGAUUUCAUAUUUGAAGCUUCCGCACAACAAGUGGUAUCAAAGCUCCGGGUUUCGACUUGGAGGCUUUGUACUAGUAUGUCUAUGAAAUCUUCAAAUGACGGUGAAAUAUGUUUUUUGGAAAAAUUCGACUGGAGGAAUGACUUUGGCAUUUGGUCAAUUGGAGAUGCAGAGUUUGGCUGCAAAAUGCGUGGCGUUGAAGAAGGAUAGUAAGGGACUAUGCUGCAGUCAUUGAGCUUGCAGAUUGGAGAAUGGUUUCGGAAACAGCGUGUCUGCUGCAAUGUUGCCGUCGAUGUUGUUGAAGUGUUGGUGUUCGACAGCUGCAGAUGUAGUGUACUGCUUUUGGUGGGUUCUCUGUUGGUCAUCGCUGCACCGGAGGUGUUUGUGGGCUGUUGUCGACGAGUUGAGUGGGAAGGAGAAAAGGUAGAAGCAGUUGAAAAUUGAAAAGAAAAUGUUGGUUCUUUUUCUUUCGGCAUUUGUUUUGGCAGAAGGACAUCAUGAUGACAAAUGAUGUUGUUGGCUGGAAGAAAAGGGAAAAAGGCUAAGGCUAAGUUUUCUUUUCUUUGGCAUUUUUUCAACGGCAGAAAAUUUUUGGUUCUUUUUUCACUCCCAUUAGUUGCCUUUGGAGCAAGUUGAUGGAAACAUUGGAGGAGUUUGUGAGGGCCAAUUUGUUGAGUUCUGCAAGUUUGGAUAGUGAGGCACCACACUAUUUUGGAUACACCACAUGCACUGCAGAACAUUUGUGUGGAACCCUCUUGUAGAAGGCAAGUUAUAUGCUUUCUAACUUUGUUUGGUCUAUGGACAUUUAGUUGGAUUUGUUUGCCACUGCUAUUUGGUUUGUUGGUCUCCAUCAUCUGCAAUUAGUUUUCUUGAAGACUCCAGUUGAGGUAUGGUUUUGGAUCUCCUGCUGAUUAUUUGAAUUUGAAAUUUUUGGUUGUCCUGUUGGUGCUCAUGUGAUGAUGGUAAACUUGAGUGGAGGGCAUAGUUUUUUUGUAUGUGGUAUGUUAGACCUUGUUGCCAAAUUUGUAAUCAGUUUUGACUUGGAGAAUAUGCCGUGCUAUUUGAAUGAGUCUAUUGAUGCAGUUUAAGACCAUGGUGUUUGUAAGCAGGUGGAGUUCGUUCUGUGUCCAACUUUGGUAUGGUGUGCUUGAUCUUUUGUUAGUGAUAUUGAAGAAUUUCAGUUCUUCGUUUGAAUCACUUUUGUUUUGAUCAAGGCACUUAUGGUUUGCAAAUUUGGAGAAUACGGUAGAGAAAUGGUCUACUUUUGUUGGCUUUGGUAUAAUUUGAGUCGAGGUGGAGAUCAUUAUGAGUACCGGAAAGUUUGGGGAAUUUGAUUUAGUUCCCGUUGUCUUUAGUUUGUACUUUGGGUGAUUAUGGUGAUUGUUGAUUCGAUUCUCUGUGAUGGUUUCGGAACUUGGCCAAGGUGGAGAUUGUUGAAUUGUGGCCAAGUGGCCAUCAUCGGCUAAUAAACAAACAAAAGAAAAGAAAAAGAAAGACAAAAUGAUGAGGAAACAUCAUGAUGAGGAGGCAUCAUGAUUAUGCUUUCUUCUUUUGUGGUUUUUUAAUAACCAUAAUUAUUGUUUGUUUAUUAGCCGAAAGGUGAUGGCCACUUGGCCACAAUUCAACAAUCUCCACCUUGGCCAAGUUCCGAAACCAUCACAGAGAAUCGAAUCAACAAUCACCAUAAUCACCCAAAGUACAAACUAAAGACAACGGGAACUAAAUCAAAUUCCCCAAACUUUCCGAUACUCAUAAUGAUCUCCACCUUGACUCAAAUUGUACCAAAGCCAACAAAAGUAGACCACUUCUCUACCGUCUUCUCCAAAUUUAAAUCCUAUGAAGAAAGGGAGAGCUCAUUUUUUAGAAGAAAGCAGAUUGAAGAGAGAAGAGGAGAGAGAAGGUAGAACCUUUUGGUUAUAAAAGGCAUUCGAUUAUGCCUUUGGAUGUGGGGAGAGCGGCAGAUGAGAGAGCACAGGGAGAGCAUUCGGCUCUCCCAUUUGAAUAUGAGUUGCUCCUUCCCACCAUUUGUAAUAAUCCAAUUUUGUUAGUAAUCACUCAAUCAAAGAUGUUGGUGCUACUUGUGUAGCUUUUGGGAGAGAAGGAUUUUGAUAUGUGUUUCUUCUUCUCCAUUUGUUUCUUAGUUUGAGUGAGAGCUAUUGGGUGUAUGUGGGAUUUGGGUUUGAGUGUUGAACUCUAUUUGUAAUCUUCUUUUGAUAUUAGUGGAAUUUCCUCGCCGUCUCGGAACUGGAUGUAGGCUUAUGCCGAACCAGUAUAAAAAUCCUUGUGUCUUUUGGAUUAUUUGUCUUGUCAUAUUUUGCCAUUAUUAGCUUUGGUUUCAUAUUUGAAGCUUCAGCAAUACAAACAGUACAAGAUCAAUGAAUUCCUAUGAAUGAAUAAACUAAAGAAAUCGAAGAAAGAGAAUAACGAGAGAGAAAAGCUUUUCAUUUAUAUUGCUCUAACAGAAAAUGAUUACAUGAUAAAAAUCUAAGUCUCCAAAACAAUAAUUAUAUAGAGACUAGAAUGAGCAGAAUCACAAUAUUGCCUUUCUAACUAAUUCUUAUCUUCUAACAACCUCAACACUCACAAGCUUGACACUUGUCAUUUCUUACAACCACUCCUAACAAAUCCUAACUGUUUAUCUGGUUAAUAUAACGGAUGGCCGACGACCGACACCGAGAUUUUCCCAAACCUUGGUCCUUACUCUCGUAUAAAUUCGAAACGAACAGUAAACAAUUUUCUCGCAAUCGGAAGCACGGCAAACAUGGAUCUGAGAGAAAGCAUCAUCAACCAAAACGACGUCGCAAGGAGGCUGACGAAGCAGCUGGUUCAGACCGAAGGCAAGCAGUCGAACCUCGUGUACUCGCCGCUGUCCAUCCACGUGGUGCUGAGCCUGAUCGCAGCCGGGUCAAAGGGUCCCACCCAGGAGCAGCUGCUCUCAUUCCUCAAGUCAGAGUCCACCGACCACCUCAACUCCUUCGCCUCCCAGCUCCUGCCCUUUAUCUUCUCCGAUGGGUCCCCCGUGGGCGGCCCCAAGCUGGCGUUUGCGAAUGGCGUUUGGGUGCAGAAGCCUCUCCCUCUGAAGCCUUCCUUCAAGCAGGUGGUGGAAGCUUCUUACAGGGCCGCUCUCGUCCUAGUUGAUUUUCAGACCAAUGUAAGCUCCCAAACCCUCUGUCAUGUCGUUUCGAUUGUUUUUGUCGAUGCUGCUCAUGAUCAAAGUCUUUGGUUGUAAUUUCAGACCAAUGUUUCAAUGUCGAUGCUGCUGAUGCUCUUUUGUUCGUUACUGUUUUUGGUUGUAAUUGAUCGAGAUAUGCAGGUUGAUAUCAUUGUUUUCUAACUUGUCGUAACUGUUGUUGGUGCUCAAGGCUGCUCAAGUGGAGUCGGAAGUGAAUUCAUGGGCUGAAAAGGAGACGAGCGGCCUUAUCAAGGAUCUACUUCCUCCCGGGUCACUUGACAGCUUCACCAGGCUCAUCUUUACCAAUGCAUUAUACUUCAAGGGAGCUUGGAAUGAGAAAUUUGAUGCAACAGCUACAAAAGAGCAUGACUUCCACCUUCUCGACGGGAGCACAGUUAAGGCGCCCUUCAUGACCAACAAGAACCAGCAGUAUGUAAGUGCCUUUGACGGUUUCUCAGUCUUAGGGCUUCCUUACAAACAAGGUGAAGACAAGCGGCGCUUCUCCAUGCACAUCUUUCUUCCACAGGAGAAAGAUGGGCUGCCAGCUUUGGUUGAGAAACUUGGCUCUGAGUCCGGGUUUUUAGAUCGCUAUCUUCCCAAACAACCAGUUGCAGUGGGCGACUUCAGAAUCCCAAAGUUUAAGAUCUCAUUUGGGUUUGAAGCUUCCAAUGUCCUAAAGAGUCUGGGACUGGUGCUGCCUUUCGUGGGUGGAGGUCUGACAGAGAUGGUGGACUCGCCCGAGGGUAAGAAGCUAUAUGUUUCCAACAUAUUCCACAAGUCGUUCAUCGAAGUGAAUGAAGAAGGCACAGAAGCUGCAGCUGCUUCUGCCGGCGUUAUAAGUGAUAGGAGGAUGCCCAUGACAUUUGUGGCUGAUCGUCCGUUCCUCUUCACGAUCAGGGAAGAAACGACCGGAACAGUUCUGUUCAUCGGUAACCUGCUCAACCCUCUUGCCGGCUGAGUGUUACAAUCCCCUGGGAAAAGGCAUCAUGUGUACGUAGAAUAAUACGAGAGUAUAGUAAAUAAAAUGUAUGAUCCUUGUAUACAUGUGCUAGGUUUGGUUAUUACCUAAUCACCCUGUACUUGCCGCAGUUGGUCUUGUUUCUCCCAUGUGGCGAUUGUUGCUCGUUCUCCCAUGGCGUUUAUCUAUUUGUACAAUCUUGAUUCUGAAUACUUAUUUUAUGUUGUACUCUGUUUGAACAAUUAAAGUUUUAGCCGACUGCAAACGUCGGUUAAGUGUUAAAGUAUUUGGACAGGGAUUGUCUGCUUUUUCAUUUUUCGUGUCCUUCUGUUUUGUGUGUUCACAGUUAAACUACGUCAAUAUUUUAUAUUAUUUUUUUAUAGAAAUAAUAAGAUAAAAAUAAAUAAUAAUAUAAAAUAUUAACGUGACUUAACUGUAACCACACAAACAGGAGGGCACGGAAGACCACCGGAAGUGGAAGAGCGGACAUUCUUGUCCAAAGUAUUUAAUAUAUAGAAUGUACGAGUGCUAGUGCUGUACCAUAUACAUGGUUGGUGAUGAAAAGGAUUAAACUAUGAAUAUUCUAUAAAAUAUUAUUUACCCUAGGACGAGGAUUUUCUUUGGAUCUUCUUUACGAGGAUCUUAGGAAUUAAUUCAUUUUAACGGUUUAUUGUACAUCGUACGGUCAACUUUCGUUAGAUACUUUUUAUGUUUAAUUUUAAAUAAAUUCAAAAUAAUUUUUCACUGCAUGAUGCAUUGAUUCCUAAAGCACUCGCAAAGAGACUCCAGAUGUUUAGUUCUCCAUGACUGGAGAUGGCCUAAGAUGCUAAACACUUAACACUAACCAAUUUUUCCGGUUAGUUAAAUUGUUUAAUAAAUGCUAUCCACACUCUAAAAUAAUUGACCAUAUUUUCUUGACUCUUUUGUUAGAUUGCAUGAAAUAUUGUUCGAGUAAAUAAUCUCUCAAGUAUCACUCAGACUUCAUAAUGAUUUUGAUUUUGAUUACAUAGUAAGCAUGUCAUUAAGGUCAAAUUUUGAACAAACACCCAAUUACAUAGCACGCAUGUUAUUAUGGUGUAUGCUCAUUGUCACUUUCAAAACUUGACACCUGUCUACUAACAUAACCGAUGGCCGACGACCGACACCUUCCCAAACCUUGGUCCUUACCCUCGUAUAAAUUCGAAACGAACAGUAAACAAUUUUCUCGCAAUCGGAAGCACGGCAAACAUGGAUCUGAGAGAAAGCAUCAUCAACCAAAACGACGUCGCAAGGAGGCUGACGAAGCAGCUGGUUCAGACCGAAGGCAAGCAGUUGAACCUCGUGUACUCGCCGCUGUCCAUCCACGUGGUGCUGAGCCUGAUCACAGCCGGGUCAAAGGGUCCCACCCAGGAGCAGCUGCUCUCAUUCCUCAAGUCAAAGUCCACCGAUCACCUCAACUCCUUCGCCUCCCAGCUAGUGUCCGUGAUCUUCUCCGAUGGGUCCCCCGUGGGCGGCCCCAAGCUGGCGUUUGCGAAUGGGCUUUGGGUGCACAAGCCUCUCACGCUGAAGCCUUCCUUCAAGCAGGUGGUGGACGCUUCUUACAAGGCAGCUCUCGCCCUAGUCGAUUUUCAGACUAAUGUAAGCUCCCAAACCCUCUGUCAUGUCGUUUCGAUAGUUUUUUUUUCAAUGCUGCUCAUGAUCAAAGUCCUGAAUUUUUUUUCCCGAUUUGAUUAGAGAUGUAUAAAUAUUUC
rnacentral:lncRNA from 1 species